AGUAUAGAAACAUGUUGAUAUGAUCAACAUGUAGUUCUUGCUCUUUAUAUUUUAAUUUUUGAUUUAAUACCAUGUAAUAAUUAUGUAAUAAAAUUUUAGAUCUAAAAAUUUUCUAAUUUUAUAAGUUAAAUUUUAAUUUAUUUUAGUCUUCUGCUGUCUGAUCUUGAAAAAGUUUCAAGAUCUAAUCCUGAAACCCUAGAUCUGGUUCCUUCAAUUGAUAUCAGAGCCUAGGUUGUUUAUUACAUGAUUAUUUAU
rnacentral:lncRNA from 1 species